rnacentral:rRNA from 1 species
UACAGAGGGGGCAAGCGUUGUUCGGAUUUACUGGGCGUAAAGGGCGCGUAGGCGGCCACCGCAAGUCGACUGUGAAAUCUCCGGGCUUAACCCGGAAAGGUCAGCCGAUACUGCGGGGCUAGAGUGCAGAAGGGGCAACUGGAAUUCUCGGUGUAGCGGUGAAAUGCGUAGAUAUCGAGAGGAACACCUGCGGCGAAGGCGGGUUGCUGGGCUGACACUGACGCUGAUGCGCGAAAGCUAGGGGAGCGAACGGG